rnacentral:lncRNA from 1 species
GGAAUAAUAUAUUCAUGACAAGAAUAAUUCAAAUUAAAUAAUAACAUGUAACUUGGUUUCUUAUGAGUAAUAAUGAGGUGUGAGAAAACUUAACCUCAGAAGUUCAGGACAUGUUUAAUUCUGUUUCUCUUUUGAAAAUUGUUUUAAAAAAUAAAUUUUCAAAACCAAGAACACAAAACAGAACCACCAAAGAAGAAGUUUGUUUG